rnacentral:rRNA from 1 species
GACGAACGCUGGCGGCGUGCUUAACACAUGCAAGUCGAGCGGUAAGGCCCUUUCGGGGGUACACGAGCGGCGAACGGGUGAGUAACACGUGGGUGACCUGCCCUCAGCUCUGGGAUAAGCCUGGGAAACCGGGUCUAAUACUGGAUAUGACUCCAUGACGCAUGUUGUGGGGUGGAAAGCCUUGUGCGGCUGAGGAUGGGCCCGCGGCCUAUCAGCUUGUUGGUGGGGUGANGGGCCUACCAAGGCGACGACGGGUAGCCGGCCUGAGAGGGCGACCGGCCACACUGGGACUGAGACACGGCCCAGACUCCUACGGGAGGCAGCAGUGGGGAAUCUUGCGCAAUGGGCGAAAGCCUGACGCAGCGACGCCGCGUGAGGGAUGACGGCCUGGUGUAAC